rnacentral:rRNA from 1 species
UACGUAGGGUGCGAGCGUUGUCCGGAAUUACUGGGCGUAAAGAGCUCGUAGGUGGUUUGUCGCGUUGUUCGUGAAAACUCACAACUCAAUUGUGGGCGUGCGGGCGAUACGGGCAGACUGGAGUACUGCAGGGGAGACUGGAAUUCCUGGUGUAGCGGUGAAAUGCGUAGAUAUCUGGAGGAACACCGGUGGCGAAGGCGGCAUCCUGGACCGGUAUUGACGCUGAGGCGCGAAAGCCAGGGGAGCAAACGGG